ensembl:lncRNA
UGUAAGCAAUAUCAAACACAAAGAAACCGAUUCCAGGAGGAAGCCACGUGCUUGCCUUUCAGCUCAUCUCAGCCGAAUAACGCGAACAAACUCAACCUGCAUUUCCCAGCUCCUCCACCUGACCCCGAGGAGUAUUUUUCCCCUGAAAAGAGAAGAUCCACCCAGCCCUAUGGCACGUCAGAUCGAAGACGGGGCCCGCUCCGCGUCUCUAGCCUCCAGGCCGCGUUACGGGCGCAUGCCAGCAUCCGUGGCUCCUUCCAACCGCCGUCCACCGAGCGCGCUCCGCCGAGGCUGCUUUUUCGGUAUGCAGAAAAUGCGUUAAGUGCGUGUUUGAGAGUCGCACAGGGCUCGGCCUCAUCUCACCGCGUUCGCGGUAGCUGCGCUGGCGUCCAACCCUGCUCCCUCCGCCGCGGCUCGUCCCUGCUCCCCGCCGCCAAAGCAUAUCCCUGUCAAUGCCGACGCCAGCAGGGCUCCCUUCAGCACCGGCAAAACCUCCGGGAAUGGAAGGGCAGAAGCCACCCGCUGGGCGAACGCGCAGCGAUACGGGUUCGUCGCUCCGUCAGUCGCAAAGGGGCAUUGAAUGGCAAAACACAGGCGCAGCAGCCGGAGAGCCAAGAAAGCCCCUGGGGAAGGCGGCCGAGGGGUUUUUCAGGCACAGGAUGCUCCGACUGCGCUGGAGCCUUCCAAGCUCAUUUCGGAGGCAGGGACGUUUCCAAGGCCCAGGGGGUUAUUUCCCUCCUGGGAACCGUGUGGGAGCCUGCGGAUGCUCCUCCGGAGGGUGGAAAGGUACAAGCUGAACCGCUGCGAGCUGGGCGCCCCUUCCUUGCUCGGGAUAGCCGGAGAGGGGGAGACGGCAGCCGGGAGCAUUGGCGGGCGAGGGGCAGUGGGUUCACGCUGGAAACCCCCAGGAGCGAGCGUCGCGGGCUCGGGCCGCACACGGAGGCGGACGCGUGUCCUCGGCUGGCGGAGGGAAGGGUGACGCCGCGCUGGGGAAGCGGCCGCCACUUCCUCCUGCCACCACGCACCCUUUUAGGUCCCCUUCGCCCCGUGAAGAGCGGGCCAGGCCGGGCCACCCGGAGCUCUGCCGCAGCCCAGGCCUGGCUUGGCAAGCAGAGGCCAGAGCUGCGGGGUCCCGGGGGAAGCAACGGGGUCCUCGGCCCCCCCAGCAGCAGACGGCCCCGCAGGAAGAGCCUUCGCCGGGCACGUGGAGCAGCGGCCGGGCAGCGCAGGGGUGGUUUAAAGCCCAGCUGCCCCCACUUGCCCCAAACCCGCCAGGCUGCUAUGGGCCAAAGCACAAAACCGACCUGCCGAAACCUCGGCGCCCAGCUUCCCUCCGCGCCCUGCACGCACGCCGGGAUCUCCCUGCGCGCCCUCCUCUCCGAGGAGGAUUUUAUUUGCUUGCCCAGGGCUCGCAGCAGCGGCGGCCGCUUCAAGGGGGGUGUUUUAAUAAAAAAAAAUCAACGCGAGGGCCAGCGGGCAGCGUUCCUGGCGGGAGGGAGGAAGAUGCUCCCAAGCAGCCCCCCAAAGGCAGCACCUGCCGCACAGCGUAAGCCGGGCGCCCGCCCGGUGCCACGACGGCGGGGAGCCCGGCCGGGCACCUGCGGCCCC